GUGCAUGCUUCAGCCGCACAGACACGAACACUGAGAUGAUCCAGAUAUUAGCAAGGCCCCUGCACAAGGAUGCCAUGCACAUUCACGAAGCAUUUCUUAUUCUU